UUUAAGCUUAACGAUGCCGUAUCCACCCAGAAAGAUAAACGAGCCUUUGAUAUCCUGCUCUGGCCACUGGGAAGAGGAAAAUGACUCAUUAGACACCUGGGACACAGAAUGACUGGCCCGCGCUGGAGAUAUUUUGAAAGGUAAAGACUGGGAAGAGGCUACUGAAAUGACAAUUUAUCACACAAGAAAAGAAAUGCAGGGACAAAAAGUGGAGCAGAAACUGAAGGAAAGGCC